rnacentral:rRNA from 1 species
GACGUAGGGCGCGAGCGUUGUCCGGAUUUAUUGGGCGUAAAGAGCUCGUAGGCGGCUUGUCGCGUCGUCCGUGAAAACCUGCAGCUCAACUGCAGGCUUGCGGUCGAUACGGGCAGGCUAGAGUUCGGUAGGGGAGACUGGAAUUCCUGGUGUAGCGGUGAAAUGCGCAGAUAUCAGGAGGAACACCGGUGGCGAAGGCGGGUCUCUGGGCCGAUACUGACGCUGAGGAGCGAAGGCGUGGGGAGCGAACAGG